GACGAACGCUGGCGGCGUGCUUAACACAUGCAAGUCGAACGGAAAGGCCCUGCUUUUGUGGGGUGCUCGAGUGGCGAACGGGUGAGUAACACGUGAGUAACCUGCCCUUGACUUUGGGAUAACUUCAGGAAACUGGGGCUAAUACCGGAUAGGAGCUCCGGCUGCAUGGUGGGGGUUGGAAAGUUUCGGCGGUUGGGGAUGGACUCGCGGCUUAUCAGCUUGUUGGUGGGGUAGUGGCUUAUCAAGGCUUUGACGGGUAGCCGGCCUGAGAGGGUGACCGGCCACAUUGGGACUGAGAUACGGCCCAGACUCCUACGGGAGGCAGCAGUGGGGAAUAUUGCACAAUGGGCGGAAGCCUGAUGCAGCAACGCCGCGUGCGGGAUGACGGCCUUCGGGUUGUAAACCGCUUUCGCCUGUGACGAAGCGUGAGUGACGGUAAUGGGUAAAGAAGCACCGGCUAACUACGUG
rnacentral:rRNA from 1 species